rnacentral:rRNA from 1 species
AGCGAACGCUGGCGGCAGGCCUAACACAUGCAAGUCGAACGAACUCUUCGGGGUUAGUGGCGGACGGGUGAGUAACACGUGGGAACGUGCCUUUAGGUUCGGAAUAACUCAGGGAAACUUGUGCUAAUACCGAAUGUGCCCUUCGGGGGAAAGAUUUAUCGCCUUUAGAGCGGCCCGCGUCUGAUUAGCUAGUUGGUGAGGUAAAGGCUCACCAAGGCGACGAUCAGUAGCUGGUCUGAGAGGAUGAUCAGCCACAUUGGGACUGAGACACGGCCCAAACUCCUACGGGAGGCAGCAGUGGGGAAUCUUGCGCAAUGGGCGAAAGCCUGACGCAGCCAUGCCGCGUGAAUGAUGAAGGUCUUAGGAUUGUAAAAUUCUUUCACCGGGGACGAUAAUGACGGUACCCGAAGAAGAAGCCCCGGCUAACUUCGUGCCAGCAGCCGCCGUAA